GGGGCGCUGGGCGCGCUCGGCCGCGCCGCUGCUCGCUGGCCCCGUUCACCUCGUGGCGGCGAGCGCGGUUAGUGCCUGCAGCCCGCCCCAGGGCCGGUGGUGUGCCGGGGCUUGAUACUGUCACGGGUUUCCUUCCAAAAAUGAUAGAAAUGGAUCACAGCUACACUGUGACUGUAGCAGGAACUUUGGGCCUAUUUACAGCAGCAGGUGUAGAGCUUCCUUCCAUGGGAUGUUCAGGUUCUUGCUCAGAAGCUCCUGAGUAUUAAUUAAGUGUAUGGAUCCAAUCAGCAGCUAAAGGGAAGCAAUACAGCAUGUCACAGCCACAGAGGUGAAGCUGAGUAUUUUCAGAUUUGUAACCACCCCUGCAGCAGCAUUUCUUUGAGCUUAAACAGAGGAGUUGUCUAAAUAAAAUCACUUAAAUAUAGAAGCCCUUAAGGACAAUA